AACAAGAAUUUAUCAGGUUCGUUCCCAACCCAGUACUUGGGCCUCUUCAAUGAUCAGACCAAUGGUGACCCAAACAGCCACAUAUUUGCAAUUGAACUCGACACUGUCCAAAAUUAUGACCUACAAGACAUCAACAACAACCAUAUUGGCAUUAAUAUCAAUAGUCUUCGCUCCAUUCAAUCCUAUGAUGCAGGCUACUAUGAUGAUAAAAGUGGUUUGUUCAAAAAUUUGGCACUCAAUAGCCAUGAGGUGAUGCAAGUGUGGGUGAACUACAACAGAGAAACCACACAGAUCAAUGUGACCAUAGCUCCCCUAAAUGUUGCAAAACCAGUGAGGCCACUGUUGUCUACUACCUACAAUCUCUCAACAGUUAUCACUAAUCCAGCGUAUAUUGGUUUCUCAUCCUCAACAGGCUCUGUUAGUGGACAGCACUAUCUGCUUGGUUGGAGUUUUGGCAUCAACAAUCCUGCUCCACCAAUCGACAUUACCAAGCUUCCAGAGAUUCCUCAUCUUGGUCAAAAGGCUCAGUCGAAAGCAUUAAAGAUAACUCUCCCAAUAACAAUUCUGGUUCUCCUACUUGCUGCAAGCAUUACUAUUUUUUUAUUCAUGCGGAGGAAUCUAAGAUAUGCUGAACUACGUGAAGAUUGGGAGGAUGAGUAUGGGCCUCACAGGUUCUCAUACAAGGAUUUAUUUGAUGCCACAGGAGGAUUUAGAGAUGAUAACUUGUUAGGUACAGGAGGGUUUGGAAUGGUAUAUAAGGGGAUUCUCCCUGUAUCCAGACUGAAUGUUGCUGUGAAGAGGGUGUCACAUGACUCAAAACAAGGCAUAAAGGAGUUUAUAGCAGAAAUUGUUAGCAUUGGCCAUCUUCAACAUCGUAACCUUGUGCCAUUAUUGGGAUACUGCCGGCGUAGAGGCGAGCUUCUCUUAGUGUAUGAUUACAUGCACAAUGGAAGCCUUGACAAGUACUUGUAUAGUAAAGAGGGCAAGCCUACUUUAGAUUGGAUUCAAAGGUUCCGAAUAAUCAAAGGAGUAGCAUCUGGUUUACUGUACCUUCAUGAGGAGUGUGAAAAAGUCAUCAUACAUCGCGACAUUAAAGCAAGCAAUGUGCUCAUCGACAAUGAGAUCAAUGGGCGGAUAGGUGAUUUUGGUCUUGCAAAAUUGUAUGAUCAUGGCACUGACCCAGAAGCAACACAUGUAGUUGGCACCAUAGGAUACCUAGCUCCAGAGCUAGCACGCACUAGCAGGGCAAAUCCUUUAACAGAUGUAUUUGCUUUUGGUAUAUUCAUUCUUGAGGUCACAUGUGGGCAAAGGCCUAUCAAGCAAAAUACUGAAGGCAUACAGGUAAUGUUAGUUGACUGGGUUUUGGAACAUUGGCAUAAAGGGUCACUUACUGAUGCGGUGGACAUCAAAAUUCAAGGUGAAUAUGAUAUUGAUGAGGCAUGUCUAGCACUGAAGCUAGGAUUGUUAUGCUCCCACCCAUUCACUAGAGCAAGGCCAAAUAUGAGGCAAGUCAUGCAGUACCUUAACAAAGAAAUGCCAAUACCAGAGUUAACACCAAACAUAAAUUUCUCCAUGCUAGCCUUGAUGCAGAAUGAUGAGCUCAUAAUGCACUGUCCAUCGGAAAUUGGCUUUGGCACAAUAUCUACAAUCUCAGGAGGUAGAUGACUAGAUGACAUGAGGCUUGACAGUGCACAUGGCCUUCAAUGUUUGCAUGCAUACAUAGCCAAUGUUGUGUAAAGAUGAAGUAAACUCUAUAAAUAGAAGUUGCUUAACUUUGGUUUUUGAUGCUCUUCUGUUGUCUGAUUUAGACUAAAUUACCCCAUUCUUUGUGUGCUCAUUAAAUUAAUCUUUGUGAUUCUCGAAUUAUUUUGAAUCUCGUUUUCAUUCAUAAAUGUAUAAAUUUAUUAUCAUUCAAAAAAAAAUUGUCCAUAUAACUGGACAAGAUUUCUCCAAGACAACGAGAAAAUACAUCAUAAUCACAGACAUAGUCAAUGAAACCAAGGAAAGUGAUUGCAUUGAUGGUAACAACUAAAUCAGAGCACUUCUUGAGAUAUUUUAAAGAAAUGGAACAUGUAGAUGGGCAGAAAGGGAUUUAUGGUCCAGAACUUGACUUGAGAAACACACUAGAUCAUAAGGCCAAGAACUAAUUCAUAUCAUACAUAAAAAAGUAUGAAUAAGUUGAUAAUAAAUUUAUUUCGACCAUAUUAACUGGCCAAUAUCUAGAUAAACUAAACACAGGGAGCAGACAUGACAGACACAGACAUGAUCAGUGAGAUCAGUGGAAUUGAAAGCAGUGAUCGUAAAUUCAACAAAAAUCCUAGCACAACAUGCAUUUCUUGACAUAUUCCUAUUAACUGGGACAUAUAGACAAUGGACAAGGAAAUUUCAUUCUCAAGAAAUUGUUCCAAGAGACAGAAAUACGUGACCAUGUUGAUCAACCUUAUGUUAAGCUAUGAAAAUCAACUAUGAUAGCAGUGCUAAAAGACGUGAUAGCUACCCAUCCAUAAAAAAAGACUGUAAGGUAGCAAGAACCAAGAGAGCCUACUCUAGUAGAUUAAGAGAAAAAAGUCCUCACAAUAUGAAACAUUCAAAGGAAAUGUAAGAAAAAAUCAACAGGUCAAAGUAUCCAGCAAAUGUUCGAACCAGAACAAAUAGUUAAUUGUACUGAUUCAACAUCCACUGACAGUGACUCUUAUUGAAUGCCAUAUAUGUUGGAAGAAAAGUAAACACUAAACACCUUACCAGUUCAAUUCCACUAUAUAUUAGCCACAAAUUGAGACCUCCAAGUAGCUUAGAAAAUACUUUGCUCUUGCAUCUUUCUUGAACUACCAGAAGUUACACC
rnacentral:lncRNA from 1 species